GAACGCUGGCGGAAUGCUUUACACAUGCAAGUCGAGCGGCAGCGCGGGGGCAACCCUGGCGGCGAGCGGCGAACGGGUGAGUAAUGCAUCGGAACGUACCCAGUAAUGGGGGAUAACUAUCCGAAAGGAUGGCUAAUACCGCAUACGCCCUGAGGGGGAAAGCGGGGGAUCGCAAGACCUCGCGUUAUUGGAGCGGCCGAUGUCCGAUUAGCUAGUUGGUGGGGUAAAGGCCUACCAAGGCGACGAUCGGUAGCUGGUCUGAGAGGACGACCAGCCACACUGGAACUGAGACACGGUCCAGACUCCUACGGGAGGCAGCAGUGGGGAAUUUUGGACAAUGGGGGCAACCCUGAUCCAGCCAUUCCGCGUGAGUGAAGAAGGCCUUCGGGUUGUAAAGCUCUUUCGGCAGGAACGAAACGGUGCGGGCCAAUACCCUGCAUCAAUGACGGUACCUGAAGAAGAAGCACCGGCUAACUCCGUGCCAGCAGCCGCGGUAAUACGGAGGGUGCAAGCGUUGUUCGGAAUUAUUGGGCGUAAAGGGCGUGUAGGUGGCUUGCCAAGUCUGGUGUGAAAGCCCACGGCUCAACCGUGGAACUGCAUUGGAAACUGGCAAGCUCGAGUGUUGGAGGGGGUCGCGGAAUUCCCGGUGUAGAGGUGAAAUUCGUAGAUAUCGGGAGGAACACCAGUGGCGAAGGCGGCGACCUGGCCAAUCACUGACACUGAGACGCGAAAGCGUGGGGAGCAAACAGGAUUAGAUACCCUGGUAGUCCACGCCGUAAACGAUGGGUGCUAG
rnacentral:rRNA from 1 species